rnacentral:rRNA from 1 species
GAUGAACGCUGGCGGUAUGCUUAACACAUGCAAGUCGAACGGACUCUUCGGAGUUAGUGGCGGACGGGUGAGUAACGCGUGAGAAUCUGGCUUUGGGUUCGGGACAACCACUGGAAACGGUGGCUAAUACCGGAUGUGCCGAGAGGUAAAAGAGAAAUUGCCUGAAGAUGAGCUCGCGUCUGAUUAGCUAGUUGGUGAGGUAAGGGCUCACCAAGGCAGCGAUCAGUAGCUGGUCUGAGAGGAUGACCAGCCACACUGGGACUGAGACACGGCCCAGACUCCUACGGGAGGCAGCAGUGGGGAAUUUUCCGCAAUGGGCGGAAGCCUGACGGAGCAAUACCGCGUGAGGGAAGAAGGCUCUUGGGUUGUAAACCUCUUUUCUUAGGGAAGAACAAAAUGACGGUACCUAAGGAAUCAGCAUCGGCUAACUCCGUG